GCCAGACUCCUACGGGAGGCAGCAGUGGGGGAUAUUGCACAAUGGGGGGAACCCUGAUGCAGCGACGCCGCGUGGGUGAAGGAGCGUUUCGGCGCGUAAAGCCCUCUCGGCAGGGAAGAAGGAGGACGGUACCUGACUAAGAAGCCCCGGCUAACUACGUGCCAGCAGCCGCGGUAAUACGUAGGGGGCAAGCGUUAUCCGGAUUUACUGGGUGUAAAGGGGGCGCAGACGGCAGCGCAAGCCAGGAGUGAAAGCCCGGGGCCCAACCCCGGGACUGCUCUUGGAACUGCGCGGCUGGAGUGCAGGAGGGGCAGGCGGAAUUCCUGGUGUAGCGGUGAAAUGCGUAGAUAUCAGGAGGAACACUGGUGGCGAAGGCGGCCUGCUGGACUGCGACUGACGUUGAGGCCCGAAAGCGUGGGGAGCAAACAGGAUUAGAUACCCCCGUA
rnacentral:rRNA from 1 species